UACGUAGGGUGCGAGCGUUUAAUCGGAAUUACUGGGCGUAAAGCGUGCGCAGGCGGUGAUGUAAGACAGGUGUGAAAUCCCCCGGGCUUAACCUGGGAACUGGCAUUUGUGACUGCAUCGCUGGAGUGCGGCAGAGGGGGAUGGAAUUCCGCGUGUAGCAGUGAAAUGCGUAGAUAUGCGGAGGAACACCGAUGGCGAAGGC
rnacentral:rRNA from 1 species